CCCUCUGGGGUGCACCAGGCAGCCAAGGUGUUGGUUGCCUCACCAGAAAGUGCCUGGCUUCGGCCAGGAAGCGGGGUGGUACCGCGCGUUGAUGCUCGUCCCUGUCCAUUGGGAUGAGUUUUUUAUUAACAUAAACUAGAUACACGCUUGGAGGUUCCAUGUUGAAACCUGUUUCUCCAAAACUGAAUAUCCCUUUGAUGGAAGAAAAUAUUCUCCGUUUUUGGCGGAAUAACGAUAUUUUCAAGAAGUCUUCUGAGGAACGGAGGGAUAGAAAGCCUUUCGUCGUCUUCGAAGGCCCGCCGACGGCCAACGGCAAACCCGGUGUGCAUCAUGUACUGGCGCGUGCCUUUAAGGAUAUGUUCCCGCGCGACAAGACCAUGAAUGGGGAGGACGUGGACAGGCGGGGGGGC
rnacentral:rRNA from 1 species